UCAGGAUGAACGCUAGCUACAGGCUUAACACAUGCAAGUCGAGGGGCAUCGGGAGUAGCAAUACUUGCCGGCGACCGGCGCAAGGGUGCGUAACGCGUGAGCAACAUGCCCGUAUCAGGGGGAUAAUCCAUGGAAACGUGGUCUAAUACCCCAUAGUAAUUAUGUAAGGCAUCUUAUAUAAUUUAAAGCUUUGGUGGAUACGGAUUGGCUCGCGUGACAUUAGCUGGAUGGUAAGGUAACGGCUUACCAUGGCUACGAUGUCUAGGGGUUCUGAGAGGAAGGUCCCCCACACUGGAACUGAGACACGGUCCAGACUCCUACGGGAGGCAGCAGUGAGGAAUAUUGGACAAUGGAUGGAAAUCUGAUCCAGCCAUGCCGGGUGCAGGAAAAGACGGCCCUAUGGGUUGUAAACUGCUUUUGUAUGGGAGCAAUAAGGGCUACGUGUAGUCCGAUGAGAGUACCAUACGAAUAAGCACCGGCUAACUCCGUGCCAGCAGCUGC
rnacentral:rRNA from 1 species